rnacentral:rRNA from 1 species
UGUCAGCAGCCGCGGUAAUACGGGGGGGGCAAGCGUUGUCCGGAAUCACUGGGCGUAAAGGGCGUGUAGGUGGGAUAAUAAGUUAGAGGUGAAAACUAGCAGCUUAACUGUUAGCUUGCCUUUAAGACUGUUGUUCUUGAGUUCGGAAAAGGGAAGUGGAAUUCUUGGUGUAGCGGUGAAAUGCGUAGAUAUCAAGAAGAACACCGGUAGCGAAGGCGGCUUCCUGGUCCGCAACUGACACUGAGGCGCGAAAGCGUGGGGAGCAAACAGGAUUAGAUACCCUGGUAGUCCACGCCUUAAACGUUGGGUACUAGGUGUUGAAUCUUACGGUUCAGUGCCGAAGCAAACGCAUUAAGUACCCCGCCUGGGGAGUACGAUCGCAAGGUUGAAACUCAAAGAAAUUGACGG